ACGAACGCUGGCGGCGUGCUUAACACAUGCAAGUCGAACGGAAAGGCCCUGCUUGCAGGGUACUCGAGUGGCGAACGGGUGAGUAACACGUGGGUGAUCUGCCCUGCACUUCGGGAUAAGCCUGGGAAACUGGGUCUAAUACCGGAUAGGAGCCAUUUUUAGUGUGAUGGUUGGAAAGUUUUUUCGGUGUAGGAUGAGCUCGCGGCCUAUCAGCUUGUUGGUGGGGUAAUGGCCUACCAAGGCGGCGACGGGUAGCCGGCCUGAGAGGGUGGACGGCCACAUUGGGACUGAGAUACGGCCCAGACUCCUACGGGAGGCAGCAGUGGGGAAUAUUGCACAAUGGGCGCAAGCCUGAUGCAGCGACGCCGCGUGGGGGAUGACGGCCUUCGGGUUGUAAACUCCCUUCGCUAGGGACGAAGCUUUUUGUGACGGUACCUAGAUAAGAAGCACCGGCUAACUACGUG
rnacentral:rRNA from 1 species